rnacentral:tRNA from 1 species
GCCUUCGUGGUGUAAUGGUCAGCACACUCGGCGCGUAUUCGAGAGGUAGGAGGUUCGAGUCCCGGCGAGGGCA